rnacentral:rRNA from 1 species
GAUGAACGCUGGCGGUAUGCUUUACACAUGCAAGUCGUACGAGAGUUUUUAACUCAAGUGGCGGACGGGUGAGUAACACGUAAGAAUUUACCUUUAGGAGGGGGACAACAGUUGGAAACGGCUGCUAAUACCCCAUAUGCUUUCGAGUAAAAUGGAUUUCCGCCUAGAGAGAAGCUUGCGCCUGAUUAGCUUGUUGGUGGGGUAAUGGCCUACCAAGGCGACGAUCAGUAUCUGGUUUGAGAGGACGAUCAGACACACUGGAACUGAGACACGGUCCAGACUCCUACGGGAGGCAGCAGUGGGGAAUUUUCCGCAAUGGGCGAAAGCCUGACGGAGCAAUACCGCGUGAGGGAUGACUGCCUAUGGGUUGUAAACCUCUUUUUCAGGGUAGGAAUAAAUGACGUGUACCUGAAGAAUAAGCAUCGGCUAAA